UAUUCCUCUUUGUCUGGGAACAGAUACUCUCACAUGCAACCGUUAUUCUUAUCAGUGUGUACUCAAAACGUGAUCAGAAUGACUGUGCUCAUCAUCAUUUUGAUGCAAUGCCGGUCAAAAGUAUGGUCUCAUGUAGCACCAUGAUUGCUGGGUACUCGUAGUGGAGAGGAUAUGCAAGGUCUGGUACUUUUUCUCAGUGAUGCACCAAGAAGGGAUGCACAUGAGUGAAUUUACCUUUAGCAGCACUCUAUGUGCAUGUCCUGGAAAAUAUGCUUUGUGUAAAUGCAAGCAGUUACACGCCAUGGCCCUCAAGCUUGCACUGGACUCCAGUAGUUCUGCCAGAACUGUAGUUUGUGAUGUUUAUGCAAAGCUUAAUACUCCAGAUUUAAGGAUGCAAGCCGGAUUUGUGAAAAGAUGCCACAGAGAACUGCAUUUACUUGCAGGGUAUGCGCAUAAUGCUCUUCAGGAUAGCACAAAGGGAAGGAGUACUGUUGAAUGGAUUCACUCUUUCUGCUAUCCAUAGUACACGUGCAUGUUUAGCAUUGAUAAUUGAGGGUUUCUCAAGUAAAUACAAUAAUUGCAAAGUACGAUUUUCAUGGAAACAUCUUCGUUGGAGCAUAUCUCGUGGAUAUCUAUGCAUGAGUUGCCUGCAGGUUGGAGGAGGGGGGGGGGGGGGUGCAAUGGUCGCUGGUUUUUCUAGGCAUGCUCACUCUUGCGGAGUUAAGAUUCUUUCAAGAAAAUGAAGUGGUUAAGGGUUUCUCUGAAUGAAGGUUGAUGUUUCUGGAUGAGCUAGGAAGAUUGACAAGACCUGGGAUUUGGUUCCAGUAACAGUGUUUGAACCUACUGCUUCUAUGUGAGGAUCUUUGCCAGGGUAAUGCAGGAGCUACAGGAGAAUAACAUUAGCCGGAAUAGAGAGCAAGCAGUUUUUCCAACUUGGACCUGACAAGGGUGGAAACCAUGUUUGACAUUCAGAUAUAUAUGCUGCCAGUCCAAAGUGGGAUAGUAUCUUGACGACUGAUACAGAUCACCCUCUAUAAUAAGUUAAAAGGUAAUUUACAGUGAGAUGAGAAGACCUCUACACAGGGCCAGCUAAUACGCAAAGUGACCUUCAUGUAUGUGCAUGACUGCUCGAAGUGGGAGUCCGGAGCUGCUUAAAUACCAAAGUGAGGACUUGUUACUUUCUUUGGUUUAAUCAACUUAAGUUAGUAUUACCAACUACUUACAAUAUACAAAACCUUAGGAUCUGUAACUUCCAUUUCUCCAUGAGUUCAUGAAGAUUGCAACCCAUCUUACUGAACGUCUGGUCAUUGCCAGAUAUCUGUAGAUUCAACCAUUUUAAGGAUGGUUCAUGUUCUUGUGGGGACUUCUGGGGAUUCAGAACUGAAUGAGACCAAUCAUCUUGAGUGGUGCUCCCAUCAUGUAGCAAAUUAUUGUCCUGUGAGUAGUGGCUCUGCUGCUUUAAAGAUCCAUGUCGACUUAUAUUGUGAGAUUGGCCAUUGAAGUCAAUAAUGUCAUGCUGCUGACCCCAUUUGGUGUAAUAUCAGCAGUAUCAUCUGAACUGUGCACAGCAAAUGGUAGCCCAGAUGUGGGUCCUUGAUCAUCUGAACAGACUUAGUGACCUACAAGCUCUUGUCUUGUCCAGUAGUUGCGCCAUACAUCAUAAGACAAUGCCUCUUAGAUGUCAAGGAUUUAUUCAUGUACAAAUGUUCUGGAAGUGGAUUUCUUCUUUCCGUGCCCCUGCUGAUUUGGGUGUCUCUGGAAGUGAUUCGCUGCAAUGCAAAUACUGGGCACUAUUGUCUAUGGGUGUGCUGCAGUAGAUAACAGCAGCGAUUGAUGCACAUCUUGGUUCGCUCCCUUAUGAUUUCACCAUCCUCAUUGUUGUUUCCGAUCAAAGAAUGAUGACCUAUGGAAAGUGUACUGACCGGUUGCUGGGAACUGGAGACAUGGCGGCGUAGGGGUUCUGGUGCACGUAGCCGUACGUCGCCGGCGCGGCUUCUGCCUCUGGCUCUGGCCCGCAGUCGAGGUUCACGCCGAACAACCUGAGCCGGCGUGUCGGUGCCGAGGCUGGGCUGCAGCUUCUGGCGUCUGCGUCCCACUGGGGUUCUCCUGCGAUUGUUCAUUCCGCAGAAAUGGCGUUAGAGCGUUCAUGUUGAUGGUGCUUCAAGUUCCCAAACGCCAGGAUGAGAACUGGAACGGCACAGAGAUCAUGCAUGCACCCUUCUCCAGUUUCCAACGGAUUGUGAAUCAGGUUUGGUUUCUCCAUGCACAUGAAUGAGUUGGUAUCCCAUGGAAUUGAAUACAAGAUAACUCAAGAUAAGGGGACACAUGCUAAUGCUCCUAGUUUAGUUAUCCCUGUGGUCUCAGCUCCUUUCCAAGAGGCGAUGCAUGUUUUGCCGAGUUCAUGCAGAUGUGGGACUUGGAGCCUUGAGUGCAGCAUGUUACUCCUCUCUAUUCACAAAUAUAUACAUGCCACCGUGGGAAGUGUGCAAUGAAGCAUUACCAAUCUUGGACCUUUUAAUAUUGCAAAAUCAAAAGUAUCUAAAUAUCUUCAUCUGAAA